CCUACGGGCGGCAGCAGUGAGGAAUAUUGGUCAAUGGACGAGAGUCUGAACCAGCCAAGUAGCGUGAAGGAUGACUGCCCUAUGGGUUGUAAACUUCUUUUAUAUGGGAAUAAAACGUUCCACGUGUGGGAUUUUGUAUGUACCAUAUGAAUAAGGAUCGGCUAACUCCGUGCCAGCAGCCGCGGUAAUACGGAGGAUCCGAGCGUUAUCCGGAUUUAUUGGGUUUAAAGGGAGCGUAGGUGGAUUGUUAAGUCAGUUGUGAAAGUUUGCGGCUCAACCGUAAAAUUGCAGUUGAAACUGGCAGUCUUGCGGACAGUAGAGGUGGGCGGAAUUCGUGGUGUAGCGGUGAAAUGCUUAGAUAUCACGAAGAACUCCGAUUGCGAAGGCAGUUCACUGGACUGCAACUGACACUGAGGCUCGAAAGUGUGGGUAUCAAACAGGAUUAGAUACCCCAGUAGUC
rnacentral:rRNA from 1 species